rnacentral:misc_RNA from 1 species
GUACGUCCAAUUGGUUUUAUUAUCGUUUUGUAGAUUUUUAGUUUAUUUUCUAUGCUGAGUUUAGAAUUUCGACUAGUUAACCAGUACAUUUGUCUUCUUCUUAUCCAUAUUUUGUCUAUAAUUGAUUUAGUAUGUUGCUUCCAUAUAGUGGCUUGUUGGAAAUAGGCGUUCGAUGAUCUUGGUGUUCUGAUGGCCGGACGAUGAGUCAUGGGGGGCUUUGACGAAGGAUGCCAUCCUGCUUUUCUUUUGCACGUUUCACAAUGAAAGGUGAGACUCGACAAAGGAGCUCCUGAGAUAAAAACUGAUGUCGAAUCACACUCCACAUAGCAGUGCAAACAAUAAUUAUUAAUGCACAUCUCUGUAUAUUGAUGACUGUUUAAAAUUAUAUUUGAUAACGAGUAGUUGUUAAGAUUAUAAUUUUUCUCAUUAUCUUUUUAAAAUACUAUCUGGAAAUAUUUAUUUUAAUCUGUUCUAUUUAAUCUGUUUCUAUUAAAUUAAUUAAAUUAAUUGUCCUAUUUAAUCUAUUUAAUUAACAAAUGUUAAAUAUUUAUUUUAUUAUUUUAGUCUUAAAAUAAUCCACAAACAUUUGAAGAUAAAUAUCUUACAGCUUUUAAGACAAUUAUAAACAUGUUGGUGUAUAUUUUUGAAAAGACUCGUAAGGUAUU